rnacentral:rRNA from 1 species
AUACAACUUUCAGCAACGGAUCUCUUGGCUCUCGCAUCGAUGAAGAACGCAGCGAAAUGCGAUAAGUAAUGUGAAUUGCAGAAUUCAGUGAAUCAUCGAAUCUUUGAACGCACCUUGCGCUCCUUGGCAUUCCAAGGAGCACGCCUGUUUGAGUGUUGUGUAACUCUCAACCUGCAAACUUACUUGCAGGCUUGGACUUU